GGAAGCUGUGGAGAGCAGGGGGAGGAGGGAAAUCGUUUCAGGACAUCCGGAGUAGCCCAGGAUGAAGAAGAUAUAAAGGUUAAGGUUGUGGUAUCAUGUCCAUUUUUCGUAGAAGCCCGUUUCAGCGGCGGGUGAGGAAUGGUGUGCAUUCUCGAAGCGACACGCCAGCGAUUCUAAAGCCCUCGUUUAGACCUUAGCUCGCGAGGAGAGUCCAAGACGCUAGCUUUAGCAGCCUGAUUCACCCUAGGGGGCAGCGCCCUUUGACCCACUCCACUCUCGGCUGCCUGACCCUUGUCAUUUCUCGCUGCGGGGGGAGAGGAGGGGAGGAGGAGGCUGUGGCCUCUAGGGGAAGAGGGAUGGAGAAUGGUGAGGAGCUGGAGCAGAGUGUCAAAAGUGAUCUCCUUCAGAGCAGCUUUCUCCCCCACUUCCACCCCCGCCCGCCCCUUUUCUCCCAUGGUUAUGGGCAACCUCCCUUGCCCAGGUCCGGAGCCGAGAAAUGGUAGGAUCUAACCGCUUUGCUUCUUAUCCAAGCUGGCAGCGACGGCAGCGUGGUAACUCUACCCAGGGCUCUCAAGCUGCGGUUGGACGGCUGACUGCGCUACGGGGCUCCUGGGAGAGAGGCCGAGACAGGAGAGGGAGCUAGCAGGGAAAAGAGUGCAGAAGAGAAGACACGGGGAGACACUCAACUGAGAGACAGAGACAAAGGCGAGCGAGUCGAAGAAAGAACGAGUAAGACGGAGACUAAAGGAGAAUUACACGGAAGGGGAGAAACCCUGGGAGACAGUGAAUCCUCGGCCGUGACAUAGAACAAGAGGAGAGGCCAAGUCUGGCCGGGAGGUGGGGGAGGGGAGCGGCGAACUAAGUCUCCGGCCAGCUCGAGUUCGGCGCAAAGGUGCUGUUCUGCCGAGAGACCGGCCCCGGCCAAGUGGCUGUUACCCAGCCGAGUGUAUGCGCGCCAGCUUCCUGCCCGGCCCCGAGCGGAGGAGCAGCCUGGGACGCUGCAGGCUCGGCCGGAAUCGCUGGGAGGCCGGGAAGCCGCGAGCAUUCACCGAGAAGUGGCACUUUGCCAUCCUGGGGAUGGAAGCGGCCUCGCUAGACCAGGCCUAAAAACCAUGAACCAAAGACACCAGCUCUAGCUCCAGAAUUAGCCACCCCUCUAUCCCGCACCACACUUCGUGGCAGCCGCACUCCGGGGGUUCCUUUCCUCCCUUCCCCCUCCUCCCCACGUUCUCCCGCUCCUGGGCCCCAUCACUGGUAAAAUGAAAGGGAAAAGGCUGUUAACAACUCUCUGUAGGAAACCUGGAAUUGGUCUUAGUCUCUGGGCUUGAUCCUUUGCACCCACUUAGUGUUGCAGGUUGCUUUGCCUCCCAGAGGAGCAAAAGGGGAAGCUUCCAGAGUUGAAGUGGUUCACAGAAAGAUGAUCCUGUAGUAAGUGAAUCCUCCAGCAAAUGUUAACGUAUAUUUAUUUUUCCAUUGAUGGUUUUAAUAUUCGCAAUCCUGGCCUCAGAGUGCAAAUGAACUCUUUAUCUGGGGGCAAGAAUUACAGUUUGCUUGAACUCACUUCCCCCCUCAUUCCCCUACUCCUUGGUUUCCCUGCUAGAUUUUCAAAACCCACUUUCUCCAGGGCUGUCUUUCUGAGAACUUUGACCCUGACCAGGGCCUAAGUCCUUGGCUAUAUCCAUGCGGUAGAGGCGAGAACGUUUUCCAUGCGUUCUCCCCUCUGACUCAGUAAUUCAGUUUGAGAACGAGAUUCUCCGCGUCUCCCUCUUCUCCUCCCCCCCCUCCCACCCCCGCCUUAACUCACUUGGUUUUUAACUUCCCCUAAAUCUCCCUUCUUGCUCAGAAAGGCACAGAGGAGGGGAAACCGAGAGGAAACACGCUGCCGCUGUGCGAAAUGCGGACCAUGUGUGGGAACGAUCCAGUCAAAGUGCAACUGCCAGCCAGGGGCAGUUGUGUGGGGGUGGGGCGGGAAGGGGAGAUUGGUUCUGAGUGUGGAAAGGGAGGGUCUGGGAGCUGGUUUAGGGAGAGGGGCGUCGGUGGGAGCGACAGAGCAGCAGACACUUUUAUUCUUCCGGGUGGGCAGACGUUAGACUCUCCCCGCCCCCAGCCCCCAUUCUUGUUAAGAAUCCUUUCUCUCGUGUCUUUUAUGGUAGGUGAUGAGCUAUGGAGGCUGCCGAAGUAAUAUCAGCAGUAGUGAGAUUAAGCUAAAGGAUACACUCUAGUUUACAGAGCUGAGGCAGCGGCCUAGGGUGAAAGAGCAAAAGGCCCUCUUUUCGACAGUUCAGAGGCUAGAAGGUUAUAGCAGCUUGAGUAUCAACAAAGGGAGACUGGGAAGAGAGAAGAGCCAGGGAAUGGAAGAUGAGCCACUGGGAGAGGAAGAGGGGGCAGCUGCUAAGAGCUCUCUGGCUGCUGUGGAAUAAUAAAAAAUAAUUAAUAAUGAUAAUAAGAAAA